UUGAAACUUGCAUUAUUCUGGUUUUAAAUUCUUUUCCUCUCUCUAUUCUGGGAACUGCAGGGCCGUGGAGGAGCUGGGAGAGGGAGGACUCGGUUUUCCUGAGGACCCUCCUUAACAGAGAAACGCUGGACAUCCCGUCUGCAGUCGGACGACCCUUACCUGCCUUCCAGCCUGGAUCCAUAGAGAGGCAAAGCGGAGAGGAAUCUGGGAAGCGAAGGCAGCCAGGCCGGCAGGAACGAGGGCUGAAGGAGCACUGGAAUCCCUCCGUAGCAGGGGGAGGUUCACACCAGGCAAUGCUUGUGGAUUACUCCUGGCUCUGCACUUAGGAAUUACUCCUCAAGGCUAGGACAAGUGGAGACGUUACUGGUGCCCGCUCGAGAAAAUCGACGAUCAACGGGAUGACAGUGACAGUGACAGUGCUCAGGGGACCAUAUGGGAUGCCGGGAAUCAAAUCUGGGUCAGCUUCGUGCAAGGAACAGGGAGUCGACUUCAGGCCUCUUCCCAGGUUGAAGGAGACGGGCCUCACUCCUACCUGAGGCCCCCGUCAGUACCAGCUUCCUCCCGGGGAAGGUCCCAACGGAGCUCCUGGCUCGGAGACAGCGCCCCAACCCCUGCCCCGGGCCUCUUUCCAUCUGCCCCUGCCUGGGCUUCCUCCACGACCCCUGUCGGAACAGUCGCUGCUGUGUGUCGAGUCCAGGGUCACUGGCCCCUGGUCCUGGUGGAGUGUCUGACCCCGGCGUCUAGUGGACACUUAGUAGACGCCUCCGGAACAUCGCAAGGCAUCAUCCUCGAGGAACCUAUGAAGACCCUGAAUUCCAGAGAAGUGGAGCUUUCCUUAGGACACCCCAACAAACUGGUGACCUGUCCUCUCUGUCCUCUGCUAGGACAUCUUGCCUGGCCUCCUUCUCCCUCUGCGUGGACAUAGCAGGGGCACGGAACACCCACGGCUGUGCACUCCGACUCAACCCACUUUCAUUUAAAAUAUUUAUACAUGUAUAUUUAUUUUAUAAAGUAGCACUGUAGCACUGUUGUCCCAUUGUUCAUCGAUUUGCUCAAGCGGGCACCAGUAAUGUCUCCAUUGUGAGAUUUGUUGUUACUUUUUUUUUUUGCAUAUCAAAUACACCACGGGGAGCUUACCAGGCUCUGCUGUGUGGGUGGGAUACUCUUGGUCGCUUGCCCGGCUCUCUGAGAGGGAUGGAGGAAUCGAACCCGGGUUGGCUGCGUACAAGGCAAACGGCCUGCCUGCUGUGCUAUCGCUGCAGCCCAUUUUAUAAAACAGUUCACAAUAUUUCAUUGCAUGUAAUAUUCAAACACCAACCCCAUGACACCCUAUUUCGGGUGUUUCCAUCCCUGCCCAAAGCAGAACCGAAAUAAUAUAUUUUGUAUUGUUUGUUAUGAAAAGCCACUGGAAACGUUGUCAGAAGUUGAUCCUUGUGUGCUUUUAUGUAUAUAUGUAUAUCUUUAAAAAUAGAUAUAUCCCUCUAAGAUUGGUUGCCUCCUACUUUGUGGCGCAGCACACUCGGAGUACGGGUCGGGUGUGUGGUAUGAAGGGUCACACUCGCAGUGGCGCCGUCCUGUAACAGAUUCACUCGUGGGUGAGGCUUGGCCCGAGCCUGUGGAGAGUGGCCGUGAGCAUGGUGGCGGUUGAGUUCUGGAGGUUUCCAGCUGCCGGGCUGGGUCCCUUGGGGCGGGGAGGGCUCCCACCCACCCCUCCGGGACACCCCAAGUGAAACAGCCUGGCCUGGGGUCCGGUGGCAUGGUUAUGGCGGGUGUCGCGGUGUGCUCCCUUCCGGGAGAGAAGGACUUGCGAUCUGGAUGGAGGCCGAUGACGAGAUUAUCUGGCGCCGGCCAGGGGUGGCUUCCGGGCGUGACUGCUGAGUUGCCGGAGACAGGGGGAU